UCUAGCUUGCUAGAUUGAUGGCGAGUGGCGAACGGGUGAGUAAUACAUCGGAACGUGCCCUGUAGUGGGGGAUAACUAGUCGAAAGAUUAGCUAAUACCGCAUACGACCUGAGGGUGAAAGUGGGGGACCGCAAGGCCUCAUGCUAUAGGAGCGGCCGAUGUCUGAUUAGCUAGUUGGUGAGGUAAAGGCUCACCCAGGGCGACGAUCAGUAGCUGGUCUGAGAGGACGAUCAGCCACACUGGGACUGAGACACGGCCCAGACUCCUACGGGAGGCAGCAGUGGGGAAUUUUGGACAAUGGGCGAAAGCCUGAUCCAGCAAUGCCGCGUGUGUGAAGAAGGCCUUCGGGUUGUAAAGCACUUUUGUCCGGAAAGAAAUGGCUCUGGUUAAUACCUGGGGUCGAUGACGGUACCGGAAGAAUAAGGACCGGCUAACUACGUGCCAGCAGCCGCGGUAAUACGUAGGGUCCAAGCGUUAAUCGGAAUUACUGGGCGUAAAGCGUGCGCAGGCGGUUGUGCAAGACCGAUGUGAAAUCCCCGAGCUUAACUUGGGAAUUGCAUUGGUGACUGCACGGCUAGAGUGUGUCAGAGGGGGGUAGAAUUCCACGUGUAGCAGUGAAAUGCGUAGAGAUGUGGAGGAAUACCGAUGGCGAAGGCAGCCCCCUGGGAUAACACUGACGCUCAUGCACGAAAGCGUGGGGAGCAAACAGGAUUAGAUACCCUGGUAGUCCACGCCCUAAACGAUGUCAACUAGUUGUUGGGGAUUCAUUUCCUUAGUAACGUAGCUAACGCGUGAAGUUGACCGCCUGGGGAGUACGGUCGCAAGAUUAAAACUUAAAGGAAUUGACGGAAGGGCGA
rnacentral:rRNA from 1 species